rnacentral:rRNA from 1 species
GAUGAACGCUGGCGGCGUGCCUAACACAUGCAAGUCGAACGAAAAGACGCGGAUCUUGCUCCUCUCACGUUAGCGGAGGACGGGUGAGUCACACGUGGAUAACCUACCUAUCAGACUGGGAUAACUUCGGGACACCGGAGCUUACACCGGAUAAUCUCUUGAACCGCAUGGUUCAAUAGUGAAAGACGGUUUUGCUGUCUGUAAUAGAUGGAUCCGCGCCGUUUUAGCUGGUUGGUAGGGUAACGGCUUAGCAAGGCAAGGAUGCGUGGCCGACGUGAGAGGGUGAUCGGCGACACUGGAACUGAGACGGCGACCAGGGUCCUACGGGAGGCAGCAGUAGGGAAUCGGCCGCAAUGGGCGGAAGCCUGACGGAGCAGCGCCGAGCGAGAGAUGAAGGUCUUCGGAGCGUAAAACUCGGUUAUUAGGGAAGAACAAAUGUGUAAGGAACUAUGCACGUCGUGACGGUACCUGGUCAGAAAGCCACGGCUAACUACGUG